rnacentral:rRNA from 1 species
GUUCUGCCAAAAACCAAUCGUGGCCGUCUGACCUUCGGAAAGGCUGUUGGCCUGUUCGCCGAAGUUGUAGUUUUCACCUUCAUCACCAUACCCGACCUCAAUGUUGGAGAAUUCAUCGUUAACGCUGGUGUUUGGUAAUGGGU